rnacentral:rRNA from 1 species
UACGUAGGGGGCAAGCGUUGUCCGGAAUCAUUGGGCGUAAAGAGCGUGUAGGCGGCUCGGUAAGUCCGCUCUGAAAGCCCGGGGCUCAACCCCGGGAGGCGGGCGGAUACUGUCGGGCUAGAGUCCGGAAGAGGCGAGUGGAAUUCCUGGUGUAGCGGUGAAAUGCGCAGAUAUCAGGAGGAACACCAAUGGCGAAGGCAGCUCGCUGGGACGGUACUGACGCUGAGACGCGAAAGCGUGGGGAGCGAUCCGG